GUCUUCAAGGAACAAUCUAUCAGUGAUUAUAUUUCAAGAUCACAAUAAAGACCAGCUUAGUAAUAUCUCUAAAAUGCAUUUGCUGAAACGUUUGGCUUAUUACGGUAUCCUAUUACAAACGAUGGCAAACGAGAGCUGAGGAAUCAAAAGUUUCCAAACGAAAAUCGCCAAUUAUUUUUAUGGGAAAUACACUAUGAACGUUACUACCUUUAUAACAUUGAAUAACAAGUAGUUCAGCUCUGAGCCUGCGCAUGUUACGGGAAACCAAGUUUAAGCGUUUGGACGAUCUUGUUUUACAAUAACAAUAAAUGAAAAUCUACUUCUUCA